rnacentral:rRNA from 1 species
CUUGGCGACGAUAGCAAAUCGGCUCCACCUGAUUCCAUUCCGAACUCAGAAGUGAAACGAUUUAGCGCUGAUGAUAGUGUGGCAUUCGCCAUGUGAAAGUAAGACAUUGCCAAGC